UAUACUUUGGUGUACGAAGCACAGGAACUUUUGAUGUUUUUGGAGUAGUUUAAUUUUACAAUGUAUAA
rnacentral:tRNA from 1 species